GACGAACGCUGGCGGCGUGCCUAACACAUGCAAGUCGAACGAGGUCCAAGGGAGCUUGCUCCCUGAAGACCUAGUGGCGAACAGGUGAGUAACACGUGAGGAACCUACCCCGGACUCUGGGAUAACCCGAGGAAACUCGAGCUAAUACCGGAUGCCCUCAUCGGGCCGCAUGACCUGAUGAGGAAAGUUUUUCGGUCCGGGAGGGCCUCGCGGCCGAUCAGCCAGUGGGUGAGGUAACGCCUCACCAAGGCGACGACGGGUAGCUGGUUUGAGAGAACGAUCAGCCACACUGGGACUGAGACACGGCCCAGACUCCUACGGGAGGCAGCAGUGGGGAAUCUUGCGCAAUGGGCGAAAGCCUGACGCAGCAACGCCGCGUGCGGGAUGACGGCCUUCGGGUUGUAAACCGCUUUCAGCAGGGACGAAGAUGACGGUACCUGCAGAAGAAGCUCCGGCUAACUACGUGCCAGCCGCCGCCGUAACAC
rnacentral:rRNA from 1 species